UACGUAGGGGGCAAGCGUUGUCCGGAAUCAUUGGGCGUAAAGCGCGUGUAGGCGGCUCGGUAAGUCCGCUGUGAAAGUCGGGGGCUCAACCCUCGGAUGCCGGUGGAUACUGUCGGACUAGAGUACGGAAGAGGCGAGUGGAAUUCCUGGUGUAGCGGUGAAAUGCGCAGAUAUCAGGAGGAACACCGAUUGCGAAGGCAGCUCGCUGGGACGUUACUGACGCUGAGACGCGAAAGCGUGGGGAGCAAACAGG
rnacentral:rRNA from 1 species